GACGAACGCUGGCGGCGUGCUUAACACAUGCAAGUCGAACGGAAAGGCCCUGCUUUUGUGGGGUGCUCGAGUGGCGAACGGGUGAGUAACACGUGAGUAACCUGCCCUUGACUUUGGGAUAACUUCAGGAAGCUGGGGCUAAUACCGGAUAGGAGCUCCUGCUGCAUGGUGGGGGUUGGAAAGUUUCGGCGGUUGGGGAUGGACUCGCGGCUUAUCAGCUUGUUGGUGGGGUAGUGGCUUACCAAGGCUUUGACGGGUAGCCGGCCUGAGAGGGUGACCGGCCACAUUGGGACUGAGAUACGGCCCAGACUCCUACGGGAGGCAGCAGUGGUGAAUAUUGCACAAUGGGCGGAAGCCUGAUGCAGCAACGCCGCGUGCGGGAUGACGGCCUUCGGGUUGUAAACCGCUUUCGCCUGUGACGAAGCGUGAGUGACGGUAAUGGGUAAAGAAGCACCGGCUAACUACGUA
rnacentral:rRNA from 1 species